AAAAAAAAAAAAAUCCCACUUCCUCUAGAGGGAACAAAGGAAAAUAAAGCCAGGAAGAAAGUUUUGGAAGGCUAUGUCUGGAGGCUAUUCAGCGCCGGGGGAAACAGUGCCGGUGGGCCUGGCUUCAUCUACCAGUCAUUGUCCAGAAAUGUUCCUCUUGGUUCCUGCAACCAACAGCUGCUACAUGGUGCAAUUUCUACCAGUUCUCACAAGCCUGAAGAAUGGCCACUGACAGUCAAGGUCCUCCUCCUCUUCCUUCUCCUCCUCCUCUUUCUUCUUCUUCUUCCUCCUCCUCCUCCUCCUCCUCCGCUUCCGAUUCUGCUUCCUCUUCCUCUUCUCCUCCUCCUUCUUCAGUGUAUAACAUAUGGCGGCUCACUUUGCUGCCUCACCACUUGGUCCUGGCUCAUUUAACUUGAAUAAAGCAUCCAUUCAAACUUCUA